UACGUAGGGGGCAAGCGUUGUCCGGAUUUAUUGGGCGUAAAGAGCGUGUAGGCGGCUGGGUAGGUCCGUUGUGAAAACUCGAGGCUCAACCUCGAGACGCCGAUGGAAACCCUCCAGCUAGAGUCCGGAAGAGGAGAGUGGAAUUCCUGGUGUAGCGGUGAAAUGCGCAGAUAUCAGGAAGAACACCCGUGGCUAAGGCGGCUCUCUAGUAAGGUACUGACGCUGAGACGCGAAAGCGUGGGGAGCAAACAGG
rnacentral:rRNA from 1 species